CCUACGGGAGGCAGCAGUGGGGAAUAUUGCACAAUGGGGGAAACCCUGAUGCAGCGACGCCGCGUGAGUGAAGAAGUAAUUCGUUACGUAAAGCUCUAUUAGCAGGGAAGAAAAGGACGGUACUUGUGCAAGAAGCCGUGUCUAAGUACGAGCCAGCUGCCGCGGUAAUACGUAGGGGGCCGGCGUUAUCCGGAUUUACUGGGUGUAAAGGGAGUUUAGAGGGUUCGCCAAGUCUGGAGUGAAAUGCCGCAGUUUAACUGCGGAACUGCCUUGGAAACUGGCGAACUAGAGUGCGGGAGGGGUAAGCGGAAUUCGUGGUGUAGCGGUGAAAUGCGUAGAUAUUAGGAGGAACCCCGGUGGCGAAGGCGGCUUACUGGACCGAAACUGACGUUGAGGCUCGAAAGCGUGGGGAGCAAACAGGAUUAGAUACCCUUGUAGUC
rnacentral:rRNA from 1 species